GGAGUGGGUCAAAGGCCAACCCAGACGCAGUCUUGCAAGCACUGACAGAUUCCUUUGCGUUCCCGCAGCCGUGCCUGCGAGGGUACCUCCUCACAGCCUCACCCCUGUGAGGUGUGAUGCACCUGCUGACCCACCGAGACUGCAGGAUACUGCCAGUAUGAGGGCUGAGGAAUGACGUCUCCCUGCAAUUUUCACUGGCAUUUUUCUGACUAUGAAGGUGCUUGAGCCUCUUUUCGUGGCAUUAAAGAGACAUUUGUAAGGAUCUUUCUGUAAACUGUUCAUAUGUUUUCUAAAUUUUUCUGAUUUUACCCCUAGAGUUUUAGGAACUCUUUUUGUAUGUGCAGAAAUCAGCCCUUUGGCUCAUAAGCUUCCAUUUCCCUCCAAGUUUGUCACUUCUCUUUUGACCUCCUUUCUUCCUUCUUUUCUCUUUCCCUGUCUCCCUUUCUCUGUGUGUGUCUGUGUGUGCAUCUGUGUGUGUUUCUGUAUGUGUGUGUCUGUGUGUCUCUGUGUCUCUGUGUGUGUCUCUGUGUGUCUCUGUGUGUGUGUCUGUGUGUCUCUCUGUGUGUGUCUGUGUCUGUGUGUCUGUGUCUGUGUGUCUUUGUGUGUCUCUGUGUGUGUCUCUGUGUGUCUGUGUGUUUGUGUGUGUCUGUGUGUCUCUGUAAUGUGUGUCUCUCUGUGUGUCUGUGUGUGUCUCUGUGUAUAUGUCUCUGUGUGUGUCUGUAUGUGUCUGUGUGUGUGUGUGUCUCUGUGUCUGUGUGUGUGUCUCUGUGUGUGUCUAUGUGUGUGUGUCUCUCUGUCUUUGUGUGUGUCUGUAUGUGUGUGUGUCUGUGUCUGUGUGUGUCUGUGUGUGUCCCUGUGUGUGUCUCUGUAAUGUGUCUGUGUGUCUGUGUGUGUCUCUGUGCAUAUGUCUCUGUGUGUGUGUCUGUAUGUGUGUGUGUCUGUGUGUCUCUAUGUGUGUCUCUGUAAUGUGUGUGUCUCUGUGUGUGUGUCUGUGUGUGUCUCUGUGUCUUUGUGUGUGUCUGUAUGUGUAUGUGUGUCUCUCUGUGUGUCUCUGUGUGUGUCUGUGUGUGUGUCUCUGUGUCUCUGUGUGUCUGUGUGUGUGUCUCUGUGUGUGUGUCUGUGUGUGUGUCUGUGUGUGUCUGUGUGUGUGUCUGUAUGUGUGUUUGUCUCUGUGUGUCUGUGUGUAUGUGUCUGUGUGUGUCUGUGUGUGUGUCUGU
rnacentral:lncRNA from 1 species